rnacentral:rRNA from 1 species
CAACUUUUGACGGUGGAUCUCUUGGCUCACGCAUCGAUGAAAAACGCAGCCAGCUGCGAUAAGUAGUGUGAAUUGCAGAAUUCAGUGAAUCAUCGAAUCUUUGAACGCAAAUGGCGCUCUUGGGUUCUCCCAGGAGCAUGUCUGUCUGAGUGUCGGAU